CUUUCUUCUAAGAGAUUGGCAGUGGGGAGCCUGGAAACCGCCGAGGGAGCGUGUGCAAAGUGCUGCUGUCGGUCCCAGGCGCAGAGGCGGGAGUAGAGCAGCAGCACUGGGACAGGCAGUGUGAUGUGUCCCAGGGAGAGGCUGGGCCCCGAAUACCAAACAGCACAGCUCACAAAGCAGGGAGCGUCUACAAAGUGCCAGCUCUCUGCUAACCCUGCAGCUCAGCCCAAAGGCUGCAAACACUCAGUCUGGGGGGAAUUACUGGGAUUGCUGCCCUAGGGCUCCCCAGUCAUAGUAUGGGGGUGCUGCCUCUGGGGCUCCCCAGUCAUAGUAUGGGGGUGCUGUCACUGGGGCUCCCCAGUCAUAGUAUGGGGGUGCUGCAUAUGGGGCUCACCAGUCAUAGUAUGGGGGUGCUGUCACUGGGGCUCCCCAGUCAUAG